UGGGGAAUAUUGGACAAUGGGCGCAAGCCUGAUCCAGCCAUGCCGCGUGAGUGAUGAAGGCCCUAGGGUUGUAAAGCUCUUUCACCGGUGAAGAUAAUGACGGUAACCGGAGAAGAAGCCCCGGCUAACUUCGUGCCAGCAGCCGCGGUAAUACGAAGGGGGCUAGCGUUGUUGGGAUUUACUGGGCGUAAAGCGCACGUAGGCGGACUUUUAAGUCAGGGGUGAAAUCCCGGGGCUCAACCCCGGAACUGCCUUUGAUACUGGAAGUCUUGAGUAUGGUAGAGGUGAGUGGAAUUCCGAGUGUAGAGGUGAAAUUCGUAGAUAUUCGGAGGAACACCAGUGGCGAAGGCGGCUCACUGGACCAUUACUGACGCUGAGGUGCGAAAGCGUGGGGAGCAAACAGG
rnacentral:rRNA from 1 species